rnacentral:rRNA from 1 species
CUCCUACGGGAGGCAGCAGUGGGGAAUCUUGCGCAAUGGGCGAAAGCCUGACGCAGCCAUGCCGCGUGAAUGAUGAAGGUCUUAGGAUUGUAAAAUUCUUUCACCGGGGACGAUAAUGACGGUACCCGGAGAAGAAGCCCCGGCUAACUUCGUGCCAGCAGCCGCGGUAAUACGAAGGGGGCUAGCGUUGCUCGGAAUUACUGGGCGUAAAGGGCGCGUAGGCGGACAGUUUAGUCAGAGGUGAAAGCCCAGGGCUCAACCUUGGAAUUGCCUUUGAUACUGGCUGUCUUGAGUACGGGAGAGGUGAGUGGAACUCCGAGUGUAGAGGUGAAAUUCGUAGAUAUUCGGAAGAACACCAGUGGCGAAGGCGACUCACUGGCCCGUUACUGACGCUGAGGCGCGAAAGCGUGGGGAGCAAACAGGAUUAGAUACCCUGGUAGUCCACGCCGUAAACGAUGAGUGCUAGUUGUCGGCAUGCAUGCAUGUCGGUGACGCAGCUAACGCAUUAAGC